ACUCCGAACCGCUAGAUGGCAGCUGCAGUACACAAACACGUGGCCAAAUCUCGCGAGAAAGACUUCCGCUGUUUGAAAAUCAACAACACCAGCGAGCAGCCAGGGGGAAAGCAAUCUACCACACUCGUUUGGUCGUGUGUCAAAGCUGUGCGAAACUGGAGGGAGAAACUUGAGAGACCGUGCCGGAAGAAUGCUGGACAGAGUUCCCUAAAAUUAAUUAAUUUCAAAGUUCAACAUGAAUGGUGGUGGUCCACUGCAGAAGCAAGCAUUUGAAAAAACAUCAGUUCUCAGUUAUUAAAGAUGCUGUGUUGAACAACUUUCCAGCAGCAACAGAACUGGAAGUGAAGGAUGCAAUGGGGGGCAUUUCAAACAGGCACCAGGGAGGACGUGGUGUAUAGAAAUUAGUCCAAUUAAUAAGUUGAAGUGUUAUUUAUUUAUUUUGUUACUGUUUUUAUUCUUUUUGUUAAAAGUAGUUUUUCUUCAUUUUGUCUUAUCUGAAUUUCUAUUGUAUUAACAAUAUUUUUGUAAUAAAUUGCAUGAUUACAUGUUUAUGAGAAUCUUUUUUAAUGGAUUAAAAAGAAUUCUUUAGCCAUUCUUUUGUUGUUUAUUAGACACACACGUGUAGUCAUUUAAUAGCCGUCUAUUUAACGGCUAGUCUAUUCUUGGGCUAUGAUAGACGUCUACUAGAUUUUCACUGACAGCCCAAAAUUAGCCUUUUAUUAGCCUAGACCCACAUUCACCGUCUAUUAGACGUAUAUAUGUAGACGUUUAGUAGCCGUCUAUUUGAUGACUAGUCUAUUCUUGGGCUAUGAUAGACGUCUACUAGAUUUUCACUGACAGCCCAAAAUUAGCCUUGUUUUAGCCUAGACGUCAGGGGGGUGUUUAGACGGCUACUAGACGUCUAUUAGCCGCAAAAUUGCUUGCUGG